GAUGAACGCUGGCGGCGUGCCUAAUACAUGCAAGUCGAGCGAACGGACGAGAAGCUUGCUUCUCUGAUGUUAGCGGCGGACGGGUGAGUAACACGUGGAUAACCUACCUAUAAGACUGGGAUAACUUCGGGAAACCGGAGCUAAUACCGGAUAAUAUUUUGAACCGCAUGGUUCAAAAGUGAAAGACGGUCUUGCUGUCACUUAUAGAUGGAUCCGCGCUGCAUUAGCUAGUUGGUAAGGUAACGGCUUACCAAGGCAACGAUGCAUAGCCGACCUGAGAGGGUGAUCAGCCACACUGGAACUGAGACACGGUCCAGACUCCUACGGGAGGCAGCAGUAGGGAAUCUUCGACAAUGGGCGAAAGCCUGACGGAGCAACGCCGCGUGAGUGAUGAAGGUCUUCGGAUCGUAAAGCUCUGUUAUUGGGAAAGAAAAUAUGUGUAAGUAACUGUGCACAUCUUGACGGUACCUAAUCAAAAAGCCACGGCUAACUACGUG
rnacentral:rRNA from 1 species